ACUUUCUCCUAUUAACAUCGGAUAAAAUUGAAACAAUACAUAAAAGAUUAGCAUGGUCCCUGCAUAAGGAUUAACCGCAUAAAUCGAGAAAUGGUCCAAUAGAUC